AUCGAACGCUGGCGGCAGGCCUAAUACAUGCAAGUCGAACGAGUGGCGGACGGGUGAGCAAUUUCUGGGAAACUGCAUGAUGGAGGGGGACAACUACUGGACACGGUAGCCAAUACCUCUCCCCCUCCGAUGUGCCCAGAUGGGAUUAGCUAGUAGGUGGGGUAAAGGCUCACCUAGGCGUCAAUCCCUAGCUGGUCUGCGAGGGUGACCAGCCACACUGGAACUGAGACACGGUCCAGACUCCUACGGGAGGCAGCAGUGGGGAAUAUUGCACAAUGGGCGCAAGCCUGAUGCAGCCAUGCCGCGUGUAUGAAGAAGGCCUUCGGGUUGUAAAGUACUUUCAGCGGGGAGGCGUUACCCGCAGAAGAAGCACCGGCUAACUCCGUGCCAGCAGCCGCGGUAAUUC
rnacentral:rRNA from 1 species